GAAUUCGCCCUUAGAGUUUGAUCCUGGCUCAGGAGAAACGCUGGCGGCGUGCCUAACACAUGCAAGUCGCACGCUCUCUUCUCUCUUCGGAGAGCAGAGGGAGUGGCGGACGGGUGAGUAACACGUGGGUAAUCUGCCCUCAAGUGAGGAAUACCGCCGGGAAACCGGUGACAAUACCGCAUGUGCUCUCUGCAAAAGAGAGCAAAGCUUCUGUUUCGGCGGAGGCGCUUGAGGAGGAGCCUGCGCCCGAUUAGUUAGCUGGUGGGGUAAUGGCCUACCAGGACGAUGAUCGGUAGCUGGUCUGAGAGGAUAAUCAGCCACACUGGGAUUGAGAACGGCCCAGACUCCUACGGGAGGCAGCAGUGAGGAAUUUUCGGCAAUGGGCGCAAGCCUGACCGAGCAACGCCGCGUGCAGGAGGAAGGUCUUCGGAUCGUAAACUGCUUUUACCGGGGAAGAGUAAGGACGGUACCCGGUGAAUAAGCUCCGGCUAACUACGUGCCAGCAGCCGCGGUAAGACGUAAGGAGCGAGCGUUCUCCGGAUUUACUGGGCGUAAAGCGCAUGCAGGCGGUUCAGCAAGUCUCUGCUGACAGUCUCCGGCUUAACCGGGGAAGGUGUAGGGAAACUGCUGGACUUGAGACAUCGAGAGGCAGAGGGAAUUCCGUGUGGAGCAGUGAAAUGCGUAGAGAUGCGGAAGAACACCAGAGGCGAAGGCGCUCUGCUGGCGAUGUUCUGACGCUCAGAUGCGAAAGCCAGGGGAGCAAACAGGAUUAGAUACCCUGGUAGUCCUGGCCGUAAACGAUGACCACUGGCCGUGGGGGGUUCGACCCCUUCCGUGGCGCAGCCAACGCGAUAAGUGGUCCGCCUGGGGAGUACGACCGCAAGGUUAAAACUCAAAGGAAUUGACGGAAACUUACCUGGCUCAGGAUAAACUUAAAGGAAUUGACGGAAGGGCGAAUUC
rnacentral:rRNA from 1 species